rnacentral:rRNA from 1 species
AAAGGAAUUGACGGGGGCCCGCACAAGCAGCGGAGCAUGUGGUUUAAUUCGAAGCAACGCGAAGAACCUUACCAGGUCUUGACAUCCAGGUAAAGCCGCAGAGAUGCGGUGUGUGCUUGCACGAUCUGAGACAGGUGGUGCAUGGUUGUCGUCAGCUCGUGUCGUGAGAUGUUGGGUUAAGUCCCGCAACGAGCGCAACCCUUGCCGAUAGUUACUAACGGGUAGAGCCGAGGACUUUAUCGGGACCGCCGGGGACAACUCGGAGGAAGGUGGGGACGACGUCAAAUCAUCAUGCCCCUUAUGACCUGGGCUACACACGUGCUACAAUGGCCGAGACAGAGAGAUGCGAAGGCGCGAGCCGGAGCGGACCUCAGAAAAGCGGUCACAGUUCGGAUUGCGGGCUGCAACCCGCCCGCAUGAAGCAGGAGUUGCUAGUAAUCGCGAAUCAGCAUGUCGCGGUGAAUACGUUCCCGGGCCUUGCACACACCGCCCGU